rnacentral:lncRNA from 10 species
CACUGCCUGGAUAAUGGAAGAACAUUAUUGUUUUUAAACUCUUUGUCAGCACCUCACCCCCUGAAUUCUCUCUAUAUUUUACAUUUCAGAAGUCAUUACUAUUACUGUUUUGAAUAGUCAAUAUAUAUCUAGUUUCACUUACAUAUUUACCAUUUCCAGUGAUACUCUUCAUUAUUUUUUGCACCAUUGGGAUUUCAUCUGGCAUCAUUUUUUUUUCAUCUGGCAUCAUUUUUUUAACCCGAAGAACCCUCUUUAAUAUUUCUUUUGACAUGGGUCUGCUGGAAACAAUUUACAUGAGUUUUGUUUAUCUGAAAACAUCUUUAUUUUGCCUUCAUUUCUUAAGGAUAUUUCCACUGUGUAAAAUUCUGGAUUUGUCAUUAUUUAAAGCAUAUGAAAGAUGUUGUUUCAUGAUUUUCUUGCUUCCAUUGUUUCUUUUGAGAAGUCAGCUUAUAUUAUUGUUAAAGUUUGAUUUUUUUCUCCAGCUGCUUUUAAGCUUUUCCUUCUAUCUUUUGUUUUCAGCAUUUUUACAAAAAUUUUCCUAAAUUGUGAAUUU